ensembl:rRNA 5S_rRNA 5S ribosomal RNA
CACUAUGACCAUACCAUCCUGAAUGCACCUGAUCUUUUCUGAUCUCAGAAGCUGAGCAGGAUUGGACCUGGCUAGUACUCGGAUGGGAGAAAUACACAUGCAGAUACAGAUG